rnacentral:rRNA from 1 species
UACAGAGACUGCAAGCGUUAUUCGAAUUCACUGGGCGUAAAGGGUGCGCAGGCGGCCAAGUGUGUGAGGCGUGAAAGCCCGGGGCUUAACCCCGGAAUUGCACCUCAAACUACAUGGCUAGAGCAUUGGAGAGGGUAGCAGAAUUCAUGGUGUAGCAGUGAAAUGCGUAGAUAUCAUGAGGAAUACCAGAGGCGAAGGCGGCUACCUGGACAAUUGCUGACGCUCAGGCACGAAAGCGUGGGGAGCAAAAGGG